UGUAGAUAAAGUGUGGGUAGUAGGAGAUGAUCUUGAAACCUAAAAUUUUUGGCGGUUUUUUAGGCCAGUUAGAGGAAUCUGUCCUGUAAUCGAUAUUCCACGUGUGGUUUUACCUGCUUAGUGGGUUUAUAUACCGCCGUCGUAAAGUAAUUUUUAAAGGAUUUGCUAAGAUUUGAGUGUGAUAGGAAGACAGGUCAAGGUGUAGCUUAUGGGUGGGGGUGAGAUGGAUUACAAUAUUGAAUUGAUAUACGGAUUUAUAGGGAAAUGGUAGUAUUAGGAAGGUGGAUUUAAAAGUAAGGUUAUUUACUGAGGUAGCUUGAUUUAGGCUCUAAAGAAUGU
rnacentral:rRNA from 1 species